UCCAAUGCAGCCCGGAAGCACUGAAUGUGGUUAUUAUGUGUUAAAGUUUAUGAAGGAAAUAGUUGAGCAAGGAAUUCAAGUACUUGAAUAUGACAACAUCGGGGAAGAUAAAGAAGAAUACACGGAUGAUGAUUUGGAUGAAGUUCGUGAAGAAUGGGCAGAAUAUGUGGCAAACUUCAUUUACCGGCCUUGAACAUUAUAUAAUUUAACGGUUGUAAACUUAUGGUUAAUAUUAGAAUUUAAAAUUACUUGUAGUGUAUGAAACGCAUUGUUUUUGAUAUAUACGAAAUGCCCUCUUUUGCUA